rnacentral:rRNA from 1 species
AAAUGAAUUGACGGGCACCCGCACAAGCGGUGGAGCAUGCUGUUUAAUUCGAAGAUACGCGAAGAACCUUACCAGGGCUUGACAUCCCGCUGACCGCUCUAGAAAUAGAGUUUUCCCUUCGGGGACAGUGGUGACAGGUGGUGCAUGGUUGUCGUCAGCUCGUGUCGUGAGAUGUAUGGUUAAGUCCAGUAACGAGCGCAACCCUUUUCCUUAGUUGCUAACAUUUAGUUGAGAACCCUAAGGAUACUGUCGGUGAUAAAUCGGAGGAAGGUGGGGAUGACGUCAAAUCAUCAUGCCCCUUACGUCCUGGGCAACAGGCGUGCUACAAUGGCUGGUAUAAUGAGAUGCAAGAUCGCAAGAUGGAGCAAAUCUAUAAAGCCAGUCUCAGUUCGGAUUGGAGUCUGCAACUCGACUCCAUGAAGUUGGAAUCGCUAGUAAUCCCAGAUCAGAAUGCUGGGGUGAAUACGUUCCCGGGUGUUGUACACACCGCCCGU